GACGAACGCUGGCGGCGUGCUUAACACAUGCAAGUCGAACGGAAAGGCCCUGCUUUUGUGGGGUGCUCGAGUGGCGAACGGGUGAGUAACACGUGAGUAACCUGCCCUUGACUUUGGGAUAACUUCAGGAAACUGGUGCUAAUACCGGAUAGGAGCUCCUGCUGCAUGGUGGGGGUUGGAAAGUUUCGGCGGUUGGGGCUGGACUCGCGGCUUAUCAGCUUGUUGGUGGGGUAGUGGCUUACCAAGGCUUUGACGGGUAGCCGGCCUGAGAGGGUGACCGGCCACAUUGGGACUGAGAUACGGCCCAGACUCCUACGGGAGGCAGCAGUGGGGAAUAUUGCACAAUGGGCGGAAGCCUGAUGCAGCAACGCCGCGUGCGGGAUGACGGCCUUCGGGUUGUAAACCGCUUUCGCCUGUGACGAAGCGUGAGUGACGGUAAUGGGUAAAGAAGCACCGGCUAACUACGUG
rnacentral:rRNA from 1 species